rnacentral:lncRNA from 1 species
GAGCUACAGAGACAGCAGAAGAAAACACUUUGUCUGCAACAGGAAAAGGAUGAUCAUCUUUUCAAGCUCCAUCCUUGAGAAAUUAGACUUGGCAGCUCCAGACUAAGCUGCGUAAAGUGAAAUCUGAGAUAAAAAAUGAAGAGCUGAAGUUGAAGAGCUACAGAAUGAACUGGGUAUAUCCAGCGAGUUAUAUGGGCAGGCCAAAUGUUCAGCUGAAAGACCAGAAGAUAAUUGUUCAUCAGCACAGGCAGCCUUCAGCAGACAAUCAGAAUGUGCUUACAGCGGAAGAAACUCACUUGUGUAAUGCCUUUCUCACUUUUAAAUCUGAUUUCAUAAAAGUUGAAAAGAAGGUGUGUCAAAACUUCAAUACAGCUCAGCCACAG